ensembl:antisense
AGAAGGCAAGUGAGACAAGCCAUUGGUGAUGGGGUCGGCCUGGUCCAGUUGCCCUGAGAGGCAGGCAUCAUAGAAUUUUCAGAAGCCAACAAAGCAUACAGAAGUUUGACAGGACAACUAACUGGUCUUAGCCGUUCAUCUUGUAUAGCCUGCAAACGUCACCGCAUCCCGGCAACUACUACUGCAUGAAUCCUGGCAACUGCCAUUGUAUUCUGCUUCUCAUAAAGGUAUAAGAAGUCUGAGUGCUUGGAAUAAACAUGUCACAGUCUCGGUCUUGAUGUGGGCCUUCCGACCUGUGCCUAGUAGAAGAUUCAUUUCUCACCCGCCAUAUCAGCUAACCUUGCCCAGCAUGUCCAUGGAUUCUGCUCCAUGGGGGUCACUUACUCAGUGACGUCACAUCUCCUGCUGUCAGCGAGCACUGGUGAAGGUCCAGGACCUGCAGGUGUUUCAGUAAAGCCAGCUGAGCAGGCACAUCCUCAAAGCCUCCGCCCAGUUCCUUGUUGCAGGAGAGGUCCAGUAUCCUCAGCACCUCCAAGGAGGCAAAGGCAGCAUCUGCAAAGCAGGUCCCAACCCAGGUCCUGAAAUGCGUACUGAUUUCUAUUCCUGCACAAACAUCAUGACCAAAAAGAAAGUUGGGGAGGAAAGGGUUUAUUCGGCUUACACAUUGCUGUUCAUCACCAAAGGAAGUCAGGACUGGAACUCAAGCAGGUCAGGAAGCAGGAGCGGACCUCCCCACUUGAUCACUAAUUGAGAAAAUGCCCUACAGCUGGAUUUCAUGGAGGCAUUUCCCCAACUGAAGCUCCUUUCUCUGUGAUUACUCCAGCCUGUGUCAAGUUGACGCACAAAACCAGCCAGUACACUUUCCUUUUGCAUUUUUCUUUCUGUUUUUGUAAUAAUGAAAGUGUAUGGUUACUGUGAUUUUUUUUUUAAUGAAUAAUCCUAGUAUGCACUAAAGCCCUGGGUUCAAUUCCCAGCUCUGAAGCAAAGAAAUAGAACAAAGAAUAUUCAAAUUUAUAUGUUCUAAUAAUGCAUAUGCUAUAUAUUUAUGCUAUAUAAUACAUCUGAAAACAUUUCACUUAUUUCUAUUGUGUGUGGGAAUGUGUGAGUGAUUCCCACUGGGAGACACCCGGUGAGCCAUCUCACCAACCCUGAUAUAUGAUACAUUUUAUACUCUACAUGACCUUAAACUUAACCGCUGUUAACUCACCCAGUAUUCUGACGCUCUUUUGGGGUAAUCCACAGGAACCCAACUUCAGUACCUUCAGGCCUGACGUACUUCGUAAUCCUUGUGCUAUGACGUCUAGACAGCUGCCAAUAUUUCUGUUGCUGGAAAGGUCAAAUACUUCGAGGCUCUGCAGCUUAGGUAGCAAGUGACCUGGAAGGGAAUACAUCCAAACAAACAGGAAGCACAUCCGUGCAGAAGUCAGGGGCAAGCUGGAGGUCUACUGCAGCUCUCUGUGCCUCAGAAACAGAGAGCAUCUGGGGGCAGUUCCCAGCUGCCAAUCACAGGCUUCUGUGGAGAGACUCUCUUGUGUACCAUAUGAUUGCAUCACUUGUCAAUAAAAACAAAACAAACAAACAAACAGACAGAAAAAGCCUACCGCCUGUAGGAAAGGGUAGAAUAGAAGGCGGGAUAUCCGGUAAGCAGAAAGGAUUCUGGGAUAGAGCCAAGCACGGAGGAUUAGGGUCGCAGACAUAGAAGAUGGUCAUAUGUAGCCGAGGGCCAGGGAAACAGCCAUGAAUAGAAUGAUGGGCUUAUUAAAUUAUAAAUCAGCUGGGGAACAUGCCUAGCUAUAUGGCCUAGGUAUGUAUAAAUGUAUUUGACUCCCAGAGUCAUUACUUCCAGGAGCUUGGAACGGGAGGAAAAACAUGCUUACAGAAAACUCACUACAAGCAACUUUCCUAUGUUUUUCUGGGACAAAUUCUUCCAAUUCCACUUACCCACAAACACUCCGUCCUGUGACGUGAGGGCACAGUCCACAAGUUCAAGUGUUCGGAUCUUGCUCCCUUGUUGGAAUGUGUGGAGAACCCGAGGCAACUUUCCUCCCACCUGGCUGUUCCAGGACAAACUUAACUCUUCGAGUUCAGGUAUCAUUUCAAGAGCACCUCCUAGUACAAAAAGGCAGAGAUGUCAUCCACAAUCAGAACAGCCAGUAUUUGGGGCGUAUGGAAGCUGGGGCAGAUACUGUGUUAGCCGAUGAGGAGCAAAGAGAAGAAAGGGACCCAGUUCCUGCCCCUAACAAUAGUUUGGUAAGCACUUGGGGAAACAGUAUGAGUUUUCACAAUUUUGUUCUUUCUUUCUUUUUUUUUUUUCAGUGUGUAGUUUAACUUAAUUGAGUUGUAUUCAAGAGUUGUAUUCAAGAGUUAAGACAAAAAAAAGGUCUUCCCUGGCCCAGAGCUUGCUGGGUAGCUGGCUGGCUGGCUGGCAGGUCCCAGGGAUCCUCCUGUCUCUGUCCCCCUGACCCUGAGAUUCUCGGUGUAUGCUGCCAUAUUCAGCUUACAUGCAUUCUGACGUCCAAAAUCGGGUCCUCGUGUUUACAAGAGGAACUUCUUAUGAGCUGAGCCAUCUCCCCAGCCCCUGUCUAUACUUAUUUUUCAAGCUGGUAUACAAAGAGCCGUCACGUUUGAGGGGAGGGGGUCACCAUACCCAGUGUCUGAACGUCCUCCGCGGUGAGUCUGCAGCUACUCAGCCUUAGGACUUUUAACUUGCCGACAAGAUGCAUUUGCUGAGUGAGCAAGUGGAGGGUCCCGCUGGCAAAAUCGUUCCAGGAAACGUCCAGCUCUUCCAAGUCUGAGAGGAGAGGCAGAAUUGAAGCUAAAGUGGGCAGAAGAAAUACAGACCUGUGUGUGUGUGUGUGUGUGUGUGAUUCGUGAUUGGUACCAGAGCUCAGUGCCUAUGUGCACAGGGGGUAGUUUGGGAUUAUAUGAAAUCACAGUGGGUAGGCACCUUGGCAUUUAGCAAAGCAGUGGUCUCUUGCUAGCAAGUGAGAAAACUACUCCAUUUGCAUUUCCUGUUUCGGAAUAUUUUCUAUUUCUGUUUAAAAAAAAAAAAAAGCAAGCACCCUUCCCAGGAUUCUAUAGAACUUUCUGUGUUGUUAUUGAACCCUGUGGCAGAAUGGGCAACUGUGUUCCUGCUGCCACGACUGCAACUGUUACUGUUCCACAAACACUGCUCCCGCUGACCCGCAUCCCCCUUUGCUCUAAGGGGCUUUCAGUCAGAAACCUGGCGGAUGCUCCAGGGCCAGGUCAGCAGAGCCUGGGAGUGUCUGUACAUCUUCUUUCUCACCCUGACCCUCCCCUCCCAGCCAUCACUCACUACCUUACAUUUCAUGAAUAUUACUCAUUUUGAGACAGGAUCUCACUGUGCAGCCCUGGCUGGCCUGAAAUUGACUGUGUAUCUAUCACAGAAGUCCACCUGCCUCUGCCUCCAGGGCGCCAGGAUGUUUGCCUCCACCACAUCUGGCGCUAUCUUAUACUUAGACAGCAGUGUGGAAGUUUUGUGAAUAAACCUGAGUCUCUAUCGGAGCUUGUUAAAAAGUUACCCUCUGUGGGAAAAUUCUCAAAAAGCGUCUUUAUCUUCAGGACCAGCGAGGGUGGAGAUGGCCACGUGGAGGAGGCAAGGCAUGCUGGCGCGCUGCAGGAGCCUCGUAGUCAGUCAGCCUGGAAAGCUGCCCAGAGGGUUCCGCGGUUUCAGGUCAGAGAGUCUGGAGUCACCAGCUCUGAAACCACAGCUCCGGCAAAACCUCUUUCUUCUAGCAGUACUUCUAGCAAAUCACUCCAGCCACUGCAUCUCCUUCACCAUGACCAGACUUUGUAAAGGAUAAACCGCCACUGACGACAUCC